rnacentral:rRNA from 1 species
CAAGGAGUCGUCUUCGUAUGCGAGUGUUCGGGUGUCAAACCCCUACGCGUAAUGAAAGUGAACGUAGGUGAGAGCUUCGGCGCAUCACCGACCGAUCCUGAUGUUCUCGGAUGGAUUUGAGUAAGAGCAUACGGGGCCGGACCCGAAAGAAGGUGAACUAUGCCUGUAUAGGGUGAAGCCAGAGGAAACUCUGGUGGAGGCUCGCAGCGGUUCUGACGUGCGAAUCGAUCGUCAAAUAUGGGCAUGGGGGCGAAAGACUAAUCGAACCUUCUAGUAGCUGGUUUCCGCCGAAGUUUCCCUCAGGAUAGCAGUGUUGAACUCAGUUUUAUGAGGUAAAGCGAAUGAUUAGGGACUCGGGGGCGCUAUAUUGCCUUCAUCCAUUCUCAAACUUUAAAUAUGUAAGAAGCCCUUGUUACUUGAUUGAACGUGGGCAUUCGAAUGUAUCAACACUAGUGGGCCAUUUUUGGUAA